UGGGGGAUAUUGCACAAUGGGGGGAAACCCGUGAUGCAGCGACGCCGCGUGGAGGAAGAAGGUUUUCGGAUUGUAAACUCCUGUCGUUAGGGACGAUAAUGACGGUACCUAACAAGAAAGCACCGGCUAACUACGUGCCAGCAGCCGCGGUAAAACGUAGGGUGCAAGCGUUGUCCGGAAUUACUGGGUGUAAAGGGAGCGCAGGCGGGAAGACAAGUUGGAAGUGAAAACCAUGGGCUCAACCCAUGAAUUGCUUUCAAAACUGUUUUUCUUGAGUAGUGCAGAGGUAGAUGGAAUUCCCGGUGUAGCGGUGGAAUGCGUAGAUAUCGGGAGGAACACCAGUGGCG
rnacentral:rRNA from 1 species